rnacentral:lncRNA from 1 species
ACAAUUUUGGGCCAUUCAGUGAAUCAGAGACACCAAAUCGAAAACUGAAGGCAUAAUAGUCUGUUCGACAACAGAAACGGGCCCAUUUUCUCCAGCAAAUAUAGCCUGUCGUAAGACCUCAUCAUUCAAAGGGGGUAGAUAGAAACGUCUAGAUAAGUUCAAUGUUUUCCAGGAAUCUCUAUUCUUAUCACGCAAACUUUGACACACGGUGAUAGCUGGAUUUUCUGGACAGAACGUUCCCUGUAGGGGAAGUUCAUCCACAGCACUUGUAUUCAUGUGCUCUUGUACCAGAUCAGAAGAAUCAAUCCCAAAAUUGUGUGCACGUUUUAAAUCGAUCACCUUUCUCUGUAAUAUUGUAUUAAUCAAGAACUUGUGCAAGGAUUCACCAUCCUCGCUCCUUCCUUACUGAUUAUGGAAGACACCAAAGGAGUGACGCUCUUUGAUUUGCUUUGCUCAUCUUGUCAAAAGUAUCCAGAAAUGUGACCACGAAACACAAAAUCUCCGGCAAGGUUAACCCUGCAAAGGUCUGUCAGCAAAUGUUUAAACUAUCAUCAGUAGAGCCUCCAGGAACAUUAAUAUCUGGAUGUCUCCUUAUUUCAGACAUCAUUGAGAAUAACACAGGAACAUGACG